rnacentral:rRNA from 1 species
AUUGAACGCUGGCGGCAGGCCUAACACAUGCAAGUCGAGCGAGCGGCGGACGGGUGAGUCAUGUCUGUGACCCUGCCUGUUGGAGGGGGCUAACUACUGGAAACGGUAGCUACUACCGCAUACCAUCAGAUGUGCCCCGAUGGGCUUAGCUGGUAGGUGGGGUAACGGCUACCCUAGGCGACGAUCCCUAGCUGGUCUGAGAGGAUGACCAGCCACACGGGAACUGAGACACGGGCCAGACGCCGACGGGAGGCAGCAGUGGGGAAUAUUGCACAAUGGGCGCAAGCCUGAUGCAGCCAUGCCGCGUGUGGGAAGAAGGCCUUCGGGUUGUAAAGCACUUUCAGCGGGGAGGCGUUACCCGCAGAAGAAGCACCGGCUAACUCCGGGCCAGCAGCCGCGGUAAGAC